rnacentral:rRNA from 1 species
GGCUCAGGAUGAACGCUGGCGGCGUGCUUAACACAUGCAAGUCGAACGGGAUCCAUCAGGCUUUGCUUGGUGGUGAGAGUGGCGAACGGGUGAGUAAUGCGUGACCGACCUGCCCCAUACACCGGAAUAGCUCCUGGAAACGGGUGGUAAUGCCGGAUGCUCCGACUCCUCGCAUGGGGUGUCGGGAAAGAUUUCAUCGGUAUGGGAUGGGGUCGCGUCCUAUCAGGUAGUCGGCGGGGUAACGGCCCACCGAGCCUACGACGGGUAGCCGGCCUGAGAGGGCGACCGGCCACAUUGGGACUGAGAUACGGCCCAGACUCCUACGGGAGGCAGCAGUGGGGAAUAUUGCACAAUGGGCGCAAGCCUGAUGCAGCGACGCCGCGUGCGGGAUGACGGCCUUCGGGUUGUAAACCGCUUUUGAUCGGGAGCAAGCCUUCGGGUGAGUGUACCUUUCGAAUAAGCACCGGCUAACUACGUGCCAGCAGCCGCGGUAAUACGUAGGGUGCAAGCGUUAUCCGGAAUUAUUGGGCGUAAAGGGCUCGUAGGCGGUUCGUCGCGUCCGGUGUGAAAGUCCAUCGCUUAACGGUGGAUCUGCGCCGGGUACGGGCGGGCUGGAGUGCGGUAGGGGAGACUGGAAUUCCCGGUGUAACGGUGGAAUGUGUAGAUAUCGGGAAGAACACCAAUGGCGAAGGCAGGUCUCUGGGCCGUUACUGACGCUGAGGAGCGAAAGCGUGGGGAGCGAACAGGAUUAGAUACCCUGGUAGUCCACGCCGUAAACGGUGGAUGCUGGAUGUGGGGCCCGUUCCACGGGUUCCGUGUCGGAGCUAACGCGUUAAGCAUCCCGCCUGGGGAGUACGGCCGCAAGGCUAAAACUCAAAGAAAUUGACGGGGGCCCGCACAAGCGGCGGAGCAUGCGGAUUAAUUCGAUGCAACGCGAAGAACCUUACCUGGGCUUGACAUGUUCCCGACAGCCGUAGAGAUAUGGCCUCCCUUCGGGGCGGGUUCACAGGUGGUGCAUGGUCGUCGUCAGCUCGUGUCGUGAGAUGUUGGGUUAAGUCCCGCAACGAGCGCAACCCUCGCCCUGUGUUGCCAGCACGUCAUGGUGGGAACUCACGGGGGACCGCCGGGGUCAACUCGGAGGAAGGUGGGGAUGACGUCAGAUCAUCAUGCCCCUUACGUCCAGGGCUUCACGCAUGCUACAAUGGCCGGUACAACGGGAUGCGACACGGCGACGUGGAGCGGAUCCCUGAAAACCGGUCUCAGUUCGGAUUGGAGUCUGCAACCCGACUCCAUGAAGGCGGAGUCGCUAGUAAUCGCGGAUCAGCAACGCCGCGGUGAAUGCGUUCCCGGGCCUUGUACACACCGCCCGUCAAGUCAUGAAAGUGGGUAGCACCCGAAGCCGGUGGCCUAACCCUUUGUGGAUGGAGCCGUCUAAGGUGAGACUCGUGAUUGGGACU